AUGGUGAUCUUGUCGAAGAACUGGUCGAGGCCGAAGCCCAUGCCGUCCUGGGCGUCCUCAGGCCACUCCGGGUCCUCCUCCUCGACAACCAGCUGGUACUUGGUCAGCAGCUCCCUCAUCUUGGCCUUCUUCUCCUCCGGGUCGGUCAGCUCCUGCGUCUCCGGCAUCCGGUCCAUCAUCUCCCGUAUCUUCCUCCGCAGCGUCCUCCGCUCCUGGUCCGUCAUCCGCACGGGGCCGUCGUCGUCAUCGUCAGAAUCGGUGUCCGCGUCGGCGCUGCGCGGCCCGCCGCCGAUCACCAGCCGCCCGGCCUUGGGGUCGCUCGCACGCAGUGCCCAGGGGCGCGCGGCGAGCACGGGUCCCAGGCUCGGCCUGGAUCGCGGGCAAGAGCCGAAGCUGACGACGAGGCGCGCGGGGAGAGCACGCGAACUGGGGUGCUCUGCUCGUGUGAGGCAAAACGUCGAACAGGUCGCGGGCAGGGAGCAGCGGAGCGCCAUUCCGAGCCUCCUGCGCUGCGCGCGCGCGCCUUCUCUUCUGGCCUGCUUCUACUCUUCCUCGGGUGGAGGUUCGGAGGCGGUUGCUGGCUCGCUGCCGAUGCCGCGAGAACUGGCUUUGAAUUUGGUACGGGAUUCGCGGCAGUGA
rnacentral:rRNA from 1 species